rnacentral:lncRNA from 1 species
CCUCCCCCCUCGGCCCGAGUGAGCGCGAGCGCCACACAGCCCCGGGCCGCCGCCGCCGCCGCCGAGCGCGCCGAGACGCCGAACAGGUGGCCGGAGACUGAGGGCGCCGCGGCGGGCAGAGGCGAGGGGAGCUCCGGCUGGGCGAGGGCGGUCGGGCCGGGCCGGGCAUGGUAGCCGAGCGGCCCCCCGGGGCAGCCGCCUGCCCGCGCCCCUAGCAGCCCGCGCGCCGGUGUAGCGGCCCCACCGCGCCCAGUGUCCAGGCGCUCCGGCUCAGGGCCGCUCCCGUCGCGGUCAGCGAGGGGCGCGGGCCGGCCCGCGGCGGCGGCGGCAUGAAAGUGACCGUGUGCUUCGGGAGGACCCGGGUGGUCGUGCCGUGCGGAGACGGCCACAUGAAAGUUUUCAGCCUCAUCCAGCAAGCGGUGACCCGCUACCGGAAGGCCAUCGCCAAGGUGAGGGGCCAGGGGCGCACGGGCGCGG